GGGGGAUAUUGCACAAUGGGGGAAACCCUGAUGCAGCGACGCCGCGUGGAGGAAGAAGGUUUUCGGAUUGUAAACUCCUGUCGUUAGGGACGAUAAUGACGGUACCUAACAAGAAAGCACCGGCUAACUACGUGCCAGCAGCCGCGGUAAAACGUAGGGUGCAAGCGUUGUCCGGAAUUACUGGGUGUAAAGGGAGCGCAGGCGGACCGGCAAGUUGGAAGUGAAAACUAUGGGCUCAACCCAUAAAUUGCUUUCAAAACUGCUGGCCUUGAGUAGUGCAGAGGUAGGUGGAAUUCCCGGUGUAGCGGUGGAAUGCGUAGAUAUCGGGAGGAACACCAGUGGCGAAGGCGACCUACUGGGCACCAACUGACGCUGAGGCUCGAAAGCAUGGGUAGCAAACAGGAUUAGAUACCCUGGUAGUCCAUGCCGUAAACGAUGAUUACUAGGUGUUGGAGGAUUGACCCCUUCAGUGCCGCAGUUAACACAAUAAGUAAUCCACCUGGGGAGUACGACCGCAAGGUUGAAACUCAAAGGAAUUGACGGGGGCCCGCACAAGCAGUGGAGUAUGUGGUUUAAUUCGAAGCAACGCGAAGAACCUUACCAGGUCUUGACAUCCGAUGCAUAGCUUAGAGAUAAGUGAAGUCCUUCGGGACAUCGAGACAGGUGGUGCAUGGUUGUCGUCAGCUCGUGUCGUGAGAUGUUGGGUUAAGUCCCGCAACGAGCGCAACCCUUAUUGCCAGUUACUACGAAAGAGGACUCUGGCGAGACUGCCGUUGACAAAACGGAGGAAGGUGGGGAUGACGUCAAACCAUCAUGCCCUUUAUGACCUGGGCUACACACGUACUACAAUGGCGUUUAACAAAGAGAAGCAAGACCGCGAGGUGGAGCAAAACUCAAAAACAACGUCUCAGUUCAGAUUGCAGGCUGCAACUCGCCUGCAUGAAGUCGGAAUUGCUAGUAAUCGCGGAUCAGCAUGCCGCGGUGAAUACGUUCCCG
rnacentral:rRNA from 1 species